AUAGCGUAUAUUAAAGUUGUUGCAGUUAAAAAGCUCGUAGUUGAACCUUGGGCCUGGCUGGCCGGUCCGCCUCACCGCGUGCACUGGUCCGGCCGGGCCUUUCCUUCUGGGGAGCGGCAUGCCCUUCACUGGGUGUGUCGGGGAACCAGGACUUUUACUUUGAAAAAAUUAGAGUGUUCAAAGCAGGCCUUUGCUCGGAUACAUUAGCAUGGAAUAAUAAAAUAGGACGUGCGGUCCUAUUUUGUUGGUUUCUAGGACCGCCGUAAUGAUUAAUAGGGAUAGUCGGGGGCAUCAGUAUUCAAUUGUCAGAGGUGAAAUUCUUGGAUUUACUGAAGACUAACUACUG
rnacentral:rRNA from 1 species